rnacentral:rRNA from 1 species
UACGGGGGGGGCAAGCGUUGUUCGGAAUUACUGGGCGUAAAGGGCCAGUAGGCGGCCAACUAAGUCGGAUGUGAAAUCCCCAGGCUUAACCUGGGAACUGCAUCCGAUACUGGAUGGCUUGAAUACGGGAGAGGGAUGCAGAAUUCCAGGUGUAGCGGUGAAAUGCGUAGAUAUCUGGAGGAAUACCGGUGGCGAAGGCGGCAUCCUGGACCGACAUUGACGCUGAACGGCGAAAGCUAGGGGAGCAAACGGG